AGUGAACGCUGGCGGUAGGCCUAACACAUGCGAGUCGAACGGCAGCACAGUAAGAGCUUGCUCUUACGGGUGGCGAGUGGCGGACGGGUGAGGAAUACAUCGGAAUCUACUUUUUCGUGGGGGAUAACGUAGGGAAACUUACGCUAAUACCGCAUACGACAUACGGGUGAAAGCAUGGGAUCUUCGGACCUUGCGCGAUUGAAUGAGCCGAUGUCGGAUUAGCUAGUUGGCAGGGUAAAGGCCCACCAAGGCGACGAUCCGUAGCUGGUCUGAGAGGAUGAUCAGCCACACUGGAACUGAGACACGGUCCAGACUCCUACGGGAGGCAGCAGUGGGGAAUAUUGGACAAUGGGCGCAAGCCUGAUCCAGCCAUACCGCGUGAGUGAAGAAGGCCUUCGGGUUGUAAAGCCCUUUUGUUGGGAAAGAAAAGCAGCAGGUUAAUACCCCGCUGUUCUGACGGUACCCAAAGAAUAAGCACCGGCUAACUUCGUG
rnacentral:rRNA from 1 species